UACAGAGGGUGCAAGCGUUGUUCGGAAUUAUUGGGCGUAAAGCGCGCGCAGGCGGUCGGGUAAGUCUGAUGUUAAAGCCCGGGGCUCAACCCCGGUUCGCAUUGGAAACUGCUCGACUUGAGUGCAGAAGAGGAAAGCGGAAUUCCACGUGUAGCGGUGAAAUGCGUAGAGAUGUGGAGGAACGCCAGUGGCGAAGGCGGCUUUCUGGUCUGUAACUGACGCUGAGGCGCGAAAGCGUGGGGAGCAAACAGG
rnacentral:rRNA from 1 species